rnacentral:rRNA from 1 species
UACAGAGGUCCCAAGCGUUGUUCGGAUUCACUGGGCGUAAAGGGUGCGUAGGCGGUCGGGUAAGUCUGAUGUGAAAUCUCACAGCUUAACUGUGAAACUGCAUUGGAUACUAUUCGGCUUGAGAGUUGGAGGGGGGACUGGAAUUCUUGGUGUAGCAGUGAAAUGCGUAGAUAUCAAGAGGAACACCAGUGGCGAAGGCGGGUCUCUGGGCCGAUAUUGACGCUGAGGAGCGAAAGCGUGGGGAGCGAACAGG